AUUGAACGCUGGCGGCAGGCUUAACACAUGCAAGUCGAACGAGUGGCGGACGGGUGAGUAAUGCUUGGGAAUCUAGCUUAUGGAGGGGGAUAACUACGGGAAACUGUAGCUAAUACCGCGUACCAUAGGAUGAGCCCAAGUGGGAUUAGGUAGUUGGUGAGGUAAAGGCUCACCAAGCCGACGAUCUCUAGCUGGUCUGAGAGGAUGACCAGCCACACUGGGACUGAGACACGGCCCAGACUCCUACGGGAGGCAGCAGUGGGGAAUUUUGGACAAUGGGGGAAACCCUGAUCCAGCCAUCCCGCGUGUGCGAUGAAGGCCUUCGGGUUGUAAAGCACUUUUGGCAGGAAAGCGGUACCUGCAGAAUAAGCACCGGCUAACUACGUGCCAGCAGCCGCGGUAAUAC
rnacentral:rRNA from 1 species